rnacentral:lncRNA from 1 species
UCACAAUCUAUGCAUCUCAUAAUCUCUAGACCAUCUCUAGCUAUACUCUAUUCGCCACAUCGCUUCGCUUACUCGAUUCAUCCCUUAUUCGCUUUGCAAUACCAUUCCGACUUCCUGACGUCUUCGAGCGUACAAGUCUCCUCCCAAUCCUUUACGAGAAUAAGAUAAUACUAUAGUCACUAAACAAUAUAUCGCAUAUACAUAUCACGUAUAUCGAUACCCACUUAUAUACCCCUUUAAACUUAUCACAUAUCACUUAACACGUAAUCAUGCUUUGACUCUACCAUAUAGUCAAGUCAUAUUCCACCUAACAUAUCACAAAUCAAUUAUCAUAUAAAUCCUAUCGAUAAUUUGACAGCGUCUCGUCUAUUUGUAGGACUAUCCACAUGUUAUCCUAUUCUCAAUCAACAACCAACCAAUCAAAUCCAGUCACUAUAAUCCAUACGUUCUUAUCCAAUAUUAAUCAAAUCAUGACACUAUGUCAUAUAAGUCAUUUAUCACGUACAUAAUAUCAGGAAUAGACAUAUAUAUCACGUAAUCAUUAAUUAAUAACAAUCCAAUAACACAUAAUCACAUUCGGCACAUUUAACAACAAUUAUUCACAUUCUCGACUCCAUCAUAUUAUUAUGUCAUAUCAAACUAGACUUUAUAAGCUUUUAUCUCUCUUUCGUUUCACUUGAUUCCGACUUACGGAUCAAAAGAUAUGGUCAAAACCGUUUUCUGACUCCGCUCUCAACAUAUAAUACCUUACACCGAUAGCAGACAACACAUUACACAUUAAGUCUCCCAUCCCACUUGAUGUCAAAUCAAUUCCUGGGUUUAAAAUGAUUUUUCGGGAAUUUUCUGGAAUUUUUAAACAUUUUUCGGAAUUAAAAUCGAUAAAAGAAUCACUUUUCAGAUAAAUAAUCAAGUCCCAAUACUUAAAAUUGGACUUGAAAUCAUUCAUAAACAAUUAUCGAGCCUUGAAAAUAAUUUAGAAAAAUAUUUUAAAGCUCGAAACUAUUUUUCGGAAUUUUUAAAUCAAAAAGGAUUAAUUAAAUCCAAUUAAUUAAUCAAUUAAAAUCAAUUAAUAAUUAAUCAAAACAAUUAAUCAAUUAAUAUUUAAAUUAAUUGACCAAUUAAAAUAAUUAAUUACUAAUUAAAAUUAAUUAAUAAAUCAAAUUAGAUUUAUUUUUGAAUAAAAAUAUAAUUAAAAACUAUUUUUGGAAUUAAAAUAAAUAAAUAAAAACAAUUUUUGAAAAUUAAAAUCAAAAGGUUUAAAGUGUAAAAUUUUAAAACUUUGUCGCAGGGUUUAAACUGCAACAUUUCAAAAGUUCAGGGGGCUCUUUGUCAGAAAUGAAAACUCGGUGGUGAAACUUCACCACCUCUAUAAGUUAGGGGGCUAAACUGUAAUUAUACAGUCGCCGCCCCCCUUUCCGUCGCCGGCCACCGUUGGUGGUUUAAACCAGCCCAGAAUCUCACCAUGAAGUGCAGUUUUAUAGUAAUCAACACCAGGAACUCGAAUAUAUCAACCAAUUAAGCAGUGGUUCCAUGAAUCAGCCGGAAAACCAAAUCAAAGGUUCGUCUCCGGCGAACCUUAAAAUUUUCGAUCCACUCGAAAACGACCUCCUCCACCCUCACUAAGCAUGUAAAACUACUCCCCACAACAAGCUGAUCAUUAUGGUGACCUUCAAAACUGCCCAGAUUCAACCGAAUGAAAAAUCCGGCGAAAACUCAAAAUUUCCGGCGGAAAACGCAAGAACACCAAGAACACUCAAUUUCAAAGAUUAAACUGACUUUUCGAGGUGUUAUUGAACUCAAAAUUCAACAUAUAAUAUACCAAAACGACGAGAAAAACAUGCUCUACAACAUGGAAUCAUCAAAACAAUCAAACAAACACGUUUGCAAAAAUUCACUAUUUAAAUCAUAAUAAUUCGAAUUUUAAAACUUCAAUUACUCCCUACCUGUGAAUCUCAUGUUGUUUUUGAUGAUUGAUUUGGGUUCUACUCUUCGAUAUCUUCGAUUUGACUAUUCGCACGCUUGAUUCUGACUCCAAUAACACCUUCAAAUCUUCGUUUGAUUAUGAAGAACACGAAGAACACCGCUCGGUUUCUCUCGGUAUUCGUGCAGAGAAACUGGUGAAAUGAUUUUACGGGUGAAAAUAAGCUCUAGAAAGG